rnacentral:lncRNA from 1 species
CACUGCCUGGGUGCCCAUCUGCUGCCCUCGAGGAGCUGGGCCGUGGGCAGGGAGGCGCCCCAGCGCUGCGCGUGACGUUUCCACAUGUCUGCUCGGUGGCCUGAGCCUCCUGCAGCCACUGACCCAGCUGCACCUCCCAGUGUUCCUGGCAUCUCCCGCUCUGCCCCCUCAACUUCGGCCUCGGCGGCGUGGAGAGCUCGUGCUGGCCCUUGCUCGCUCAAAUCUCCUCCAAGGACCUCAUGGUCCCGAAAAUGCUUUCAUUGUGCUACUUGGUCGCAUGCGCCUCGCCGCAUUCUCCGGCUGACCGAGAAGCACACGAAGGCAAGUCCCAGGCUGGAACAGCGGCUCUGCAUGGUCGGCACAUCGCCUUCUCAGCACUGGCUGUCUACUUUGGGCAUGUGUAUUGCUAGGCUGGGGUGUGCACCGUCUUUGCCCGCCUGGAGUAUGCUGUCCUCCUAACCAACAUAGGGUUCAGCAUGGUGGGACUUCCGGAGCGAAGAGCAUACCCUCUUGACCUGAGGAAAAGCUAUUCUGA